AAAGACUUAGUCCUAACCUUACCGUUAAUUCUUGCCAAACAUAUACAUGCAAGUAUCUGCGACCCAGUGUAAAUGCCCUCAACUUCUUACCAGGACAAGAGGAGCGGGCAUCAGGCUCACCCGCCGACCGUAGCCCAAGACGCCUUGCUUAGCCACACCCCCACGGGUAUUCAGCAGUAAUUAACAUUAAGCAAUAAGUGCAAACUUGACUUAGUUAUGGCAAUACUCAGGGUUGGUCAAUCUUGUGCCAGCCACCGCGGUCAUACAAGAGACCCAAAUUAACUGUCUAUACGGCGUAAAGAGUGGUACCCCACUAUCAUAGCAACUAGGAUUAAAACGCAGCUGAGCCGUCAUAAGCCCAAGGUGCAUCUAAAUCCAUCACUCAAAAUGAUCCUAGCACCCGCGAUCGAUUAUACCCCACGAAAGCUAAGACCCAAACUGGGAUUAGAUACCCCACUAUGCUUAGCCCUAAAUCUUGAUGCUUACCUUUACCAAAGCAUCCGCCUGAGAACUACGAGCACAAACGCUUAAAACUCUAAGGACUUGGCGGUGCCCCAAACCCACCUAGAGGAGCCUGUUCUAUAAUCGAUAACCCACGAUACACCCGACCGCUCCUCGCCAGAACAGCCUACAUACCGCCGUCGCCAGCUCACCUCACCUGAGAGCACCCCAGUGAGCGUAAUAGCCCAAACCCGCUAAUAAGACAGGUCAAGGUAUAGCCCAUGGAGCGGAAGAAAUGGGCUACAUUUUCUAGAUUAGAAAACCUCCACGAAAGGGAGUGUGAAACCACACCCGGAAGGCGGAUUUAGCAGUAAAGCGGGACAAUAAAGCCCUCUUUAAAUCGGCCCUGGGGCACGUACAUACCGCCCGUCACCCUCCUCACAAGCUACCAACUUAUAUAACUAAUACACCACAUAGCUGAAGACGAGGUAAGUCGUAACAAGGUAAGUGUACCGGAAGGUGUACUUAGCAUAC
rnacentral:ncRNA from 1 species